rnacentral:rRNA from 1 species
GAUGAACGCUGGCGGCAUGCCUAACACAUGCAAGUCGAACGAGACCUUCGGGUCUAGUGGCGCACGGGUGCGUAACACGUGGGAAUUUGCCUCGGGGUAUGGAAUAACUCAGGGAAACUUGAGCUAAUACCAUAUAAUGUCUUCGGACCAAAGAUUUAUCGCCCUGAGAUAAGCCCGCGUAGGAUUAGCUAGUUGGUGGGGUAAAGGCUCACCAAGGCGACGAUCCUUAGCUGGUCUGAGAGGAUGAUCAGCCACACUGGGACUGAGACACGGCCCAGACUCCUACGGGAGGCAGCAGUGGGAAUAUUGGACAAUGGGCGAAAGCCUGAUCCAGCCAUGCCGCGUGUGUGAAGAAGGUCUUCGGAUUGUAAAGCACUUUAAGUUGGGAGGAAGGGCAGUUACCUAAUACGUGAUUGUUUGACGUUACCGACAGAAUAAGCACCGGCUAACUCUGUGCCAGCAGCCGCGGUAAUGUGACUACUG